rnacentral:rRNA from 1 species
UACGUAGGCAGCGAGCGUUGUUCGGAGUUACUGGGCGUAAAGGGUGUGUAGGCGGUUGUUUAAGUUUGGUGUGAAAUCUCCCGGCUCAACUGGGAGGGUGCGCCGAAUACUGAAUGACUUGGAGUGCGGGAGAGGAAAGUGGAAUUCCUGGUGUAGCGGUGAAAUGCGUAGAUAUCAGGAGGAACACCGGUGGUGUAGACGGCUUUCUGGACCGUAACUGACGCUGAGGCGCGAAAGCGUGGGGAGCAAACAGG